rnacentral:tRNA from 1 species
ACCUGGGUGGCUCAGUGGGUUAAAGCAUCUGACUUCAACUCAGGUCAUGAUCUCAUGGUUUGUGAGUUCGAGCCUCAUGUUGGGCU